rnacentral:rRNA from 2 species
AACGUAGGACGCGAGCGUUAUCCGGAGUUACUGGGCGUAAAGCGCGGGCAGGCGGCGCUGCCAGUCCGAUGUGAAAGCCCCCGGCUCAACCGGGCGAGGCCAUUGGAAACUGCAGGGCUGGAGGGCAGCAGAGGUCGGCGGAAUUCCGGGUGGAGUGGUGAAAUGCGUAGAGAUCCGGAGGAACACCAGAGGCGAAGGCGGUCGACUGGGCUGCACCUGACGCUGAGCCGCGAAAGCCAGGGGAGCGAACGGG